AUUUCUUUUUGGAAAGAAGAGAAGCUAAUCUUUGCCUUUUUUUAAACUUUUAUGUAUGGUUACUAAACUUUUUAACGGAUUUUUUUACUCCUGAAUAUUUGGUUGAUGCUUUCAAAUGAGUUUGUGGUCGAAGGCAUGUCGUUUCCGCUUUUUUGAUUGUUCAGCCACGUUUAUACAUGUAUUUUCUAUUUACGUGCCCAAUUCCAACGAAAAACAAUUGAGAGCAGAUAUGUUAACGGGUGCUUUAUACUGUUUUUUUUAGUCCAAUCUGCACAGACUACAGCUGAUUCCCUGCAGGAUGCCUGUUAAAAGAAAAACUGAAGAAACUAAAUGAUGGCAACUGAAGAAGUUGAAACACCGUUAAUCAUGGUGUCAUAUCGAGGCUUCAGUUUUCCAAUAUUUAUUUUUUUAUUUUAUUAUAUAUGUUAUGUUUA